AUCAACUUUCGAUGGUAGGAUAGAGGCCUACCAUGGUGGUAACGGGUAACGGGGUGUUAGGGCACGACACCGGAGAGGGAGCCUGAGAAACGGCUACCACAUCCAAGGAUGGCAGCAGGCGCGCAAAUUACCCAAUCCCGACACGGGGAGGUAGUGACAAUAAAUAACAAUACGGGGUUCUUUAGGAUCUCGUAAUUGGAAUGAGUACAACUUAAAUCUCUUAACGAGGAACAAUUGGAGGGCAAGUCUGGUGCCAGCAGCCGCGGUAAUUCCAGCUCCAAUAGCGUAUAUUAAAGUUGUUGCAGUUAAAAAGCUCGUAGUUGAAUUUCGGGGUUAGUAGGUUGGUCAUGCCUCUGGUAUGUACUGAUCUCACUGAUUCCUCCUUCCUUAUGAACCGUAAUGCCAUUAAUUUGGUGUUGCGGGGAAUUUGGACUGUUACUUUGAAAAAAUUAGAGUGUUUAAAGCAGGCUAACGCUUGAAUACAUUAGCAUGGAAUAAUGAAAUAGGACGUUCGAUCUUAUUUUGUUGGUUUCUAGGAUUGACGUAAUGAUUAAUAGGGAUAGUUGGGGGCAUUAGUAUUCAAUUGUCAGAGGUGAAAUUCUUGGAUUUAUUGAAGACUAACUACUGCGAAAGCAUUUGCCAAGGAUGUUUUCAUUAAUCAAGAACGAAAGUUAGUGGAUCGAAGACGAUCAGAUACCGUCGUAGUCUUAACCAGAAACUAUGCCGACUAGGGAUCGGAUGAUGUUAUUUUUAAUGACUCAUUCGGCGCCUUACGGGAAACCAAAGUGUUUGGGUUC
rnacentral:rRNA from 1 species